rfam:Camelus ferus unplaced genomic scaffold scaffold688, whole genome shotgun sequence.
GGGGGUAUAGCCCAAAUGGUAGGGUGUGUGCUUAUCAAGCGUAAGGUCCUGGGUUCAAGCCCCAGAACCUCUG